AGUGAACGCUGGCGGUAGGCCUAACACAUGCAAGUCGAACGGCAGCACAGUAAGAGCUUGCUCUUACGGGUGGCGAGUGGCGGACGGGUGAGGAAUACAUCGGAAUCUACUUUUUCGUGGGGGAUAACGUAGGGAAACUUACGCUAAUACCGCAUACGACCUACGGGUGAAAGCAGUGGAUCUUCGGACCUUGCGCGAUUGAAUGAGCCGAUGUCGGAUUAGCUAGUUGGCGGGGUAAAGGCCCACCAAGGCGACGAUCCGUAGCUGGUCUGAGAGGAUGAUCAGCCACACUAGAACUGAGACACGGUCCAGACUCCUACGGGAGGCAGCAGUGGGGAAUAUUGGACAAAGGGCGCAAGCCUGAUCCAGCCAUACCGCGUGGGUGAAGAAGGCCUUCGGGUUGUAAAGCCCUUUUGUUGGGAAAGAAAAGCAGCAGGUUAAUACCCCGCUGUUCUGACGGUACCCAAAGAAUAAGCACCGGCUAACUUCGUG
rnacentral:rRNA from 1 species